rnacentral:rRNA from 1 species
CACCGGCGGCCCGAGUGGUAGCCGUUUUUAUUGGGUCUAAAGGGUCCGUAGCCGGCUUGAUAAGUCUUUUGGGAAAUCUGGCAGCUUAACUGUCAGGCUUCUAAGGGAUACUGUCAGGCUUGGGACCGGAAGAGGUAAGGGGUACUCCAGGGGUAGGAGUGAAAUCUUGUAAUCCCUGGGGGACCAUCUGUGGCGAAGGCGCCUUACCAGAACGGGUCCGACGGUGAGGGACGAAAGCUAGGGGAGCAAACCGG